ensembl:lincRNA
UGUCCCUGCAAUUUCUGCUGUCCCCAACUAAGCCUGUGGAGGUCUUGUCUGCAUCCCAGCCUGCCUUCUGCAAAGCAGCUGGUGAGCGGCUGGGUCUGAGCAUGCAGUACUGCAGACAUGCUCCGCCAGGGCUUACACAUAAUGCUCUCAGCCGCUCCUCACCGAAGAGGGAACAGGGAGAGAAGCCCAGCGUCCAGGUUGCUUUCCAGUCUGGAGAAGGAGCACCAGCCCCACACUUGGAGCUGCCCCACCGUCCCCCAGCGCACGUCAUCAUGUGCUUCCUUGCUGCAGCCAGAGCAGCUGCCCGCUCCCGCAGUGGGAACAGAGGCCCAGGAAGGAGAGGGUGAGCCUUGUGAACCACCACACUCUCCACAAUUGCUCAUUUUCCGAAAUCAUUACUGCGAUGACGGACAAGGCUGGCUUCAUUGCAAGGGCAUCAUCGUCUAGAUGGAGGCUCAGCAAAACUUCCUGCAGAUGGGCAGGCAGGGCCAGAGGGGAGCACGUUGAGCUCUGUGAGUUACACACACUCCAGGGACUUCAUAAAACCCUCUGUGCACGAAGCUCCGCCCGUGGGUCAGGCUUUCAGUCCUUGUUCUAGGGCUGCACUUUCCUCUCAUACGCGGUUUGGUAGGAAGGAGGAAUUCAGGCUUAAGUUUUCUUCUUUCUGCUGGAAUUACAUUCAAAGUCGACUAUGUUCUUAGUUCUUUAGAAACUAGACUCUUACAGAUUUGAUUGGAAGAGAAGAGGCACUUCUUUAAAAUGAAUUCUGAUGUGUGCUGUAUAUAUUCACACCCGCGAAUAUCUGCAAUGCAAACCAUUAAAGUCACUAAAGACACCUGACCCUUUUCAGUCGGUUUCCAUGGGAACAGAUGUGAAAAUAAAACGCAUUCUCAGGCCCCCAUCGGGGCUUCUGGAUGAGGAGCAGGCCUCAGAGCCCGCUUGAUUUCCGUCAGCGCCCGCCUGGCCGGGCUGCUGCUCCUCUCUCCUUGCUCCUCUCCCC